AACAGCCACUGCACAAACACACAGGAUCAACUGCAAGUUGCUCACAGGAGGGAAGAAGCCACAAAGAAACAUGGCAGGAAGCGACUGCUCAUAACCUGUGGGUAUCCAAGGCAGGAAGGGGAGAAAAUAAAAAUCACUUGAAGUACUCAGUUCCAAGAGCUCAAGAGCCAGCUGACAGCGACUGCAGAGGGGACCAGCCCAAAUCUGUUUCAGAGUCUCGAGG